GAUGAACGCUGGCGGCGUGCUUAACACAUGCAAGUCGAACGGACAGGCUCCUGCUUGCAGGGGUACUCGAGUGGCGAACGGGUGAGUAACACGUGGGUGAUCUGCCCUGCACUUCGGGGUAUGCCUGGGAAACUGGGGCUCAUACCGGAUAGGACGAUGGUUUGGAUGCCAUUCUGGAAAGUUUUUUCGGUGUGGGAUGAGUUCGCGGUCUAUCAGCUUGUUGGGGGGGUAUUGUCCUACCAAGGCGUCGGCGGGUCGCCGGCCUGGGAGGGUGUACGGCCACAUUGCGACUGGGCUACGGCCCAGACUCCAACCGUACGCAACGGUGGAGAGUAUUACACAAUGGGCGCAAGCCAGAUGUAACGACGCCACGUGGGGGAAAACGGGCUUCGGGUUGUAAACUACUUUCGCUAGAGACGAGGCGCUAGUGACGGUACCUGGAGAAGAAGCCCCGGCUAACUACGUG
rnacentral:rRNA from 1 species